GAUGAACGCUAGCUACAGGCUUAACACAUGCAAGUCGAGGGGUAACGAGAGGAAAGCUUACUUUCCUUGUCGACGACCGGCGCACGGGUGAGUAACGCGUAUCCAACCUGCCCCCAACUAGGGAAUAACCUUGCGAAAGUAAGACUAAUACCCUAUAAUUUCCUCAGAUGUCAUCUGACGAGGAAUAAAGAUUUAUCGGUUGUGGAUGGGGAUGCGUCUGAUUAGCUUGUUGGCGGGGUAACGGCCCACCAAGGCAACGAUCAGUAGGGGGUCUGAGAGGAAGGUCCCCCACAGUGGAACUGGGACACGGUCCAAACGCCUACGGGAGGCAGCAGUGAGGAAUAUUGGUCAAUGGGCGGAAGCCUGAACCAGCCAAGUAGCGUGCAGGAUGACGGCCCUAUGGGUUGUAAACUGCUUUUAUACAGGAAUAAAGUUAGCCACGUGUGGUUAUUUGUAGGUACUGUAUGAAUAAGGACCGGCUAAUUCCGUGCCAGCCGCCGCCGUAA
rnacentral:rRNA from 1 species